rnacentral:sRNA from 5 species
AGGUGCCACUCGAACACGACGGCUCUGAGCGCGCCGUCCACGCCCACCUGACGACUGCUCGCUACGUUUUGGUAGCC